UCUGCUUGAAUGUCUUCUCCUUUACCACC
rnacentral:piRNA from 1 species